GCCGAGGUGGUGGAAUCUGGUAGACACGCUACCUUGAGGUGGUAGUACUCAUUUGAGUUUGCGGGUUCAAAUCCCGUCCUCGGUA
rnacentral:tRNA from 1 species